rnacentral:rRNA from 1 species
GACGAACGCUGGCGGCGUGCUUAACACAUGCAAGUCGAACGGAAAGGCCCUGCUUUUGUGGGGUGCUCGAGUGGCGAACGGGUGAGUAACACGUGAGUAACCUGCCCUUGACUUUGGGAUAACUUCAGGAAACUGGGGCUAAUACCGGAUAGGAGCUCCUGCUGCAUGGUGGGGGUUGGAAAGUUUCGGCGGUUGGGGAUGGACUCGCGGCUUAUCAGCUUGUUGGUGAGGUAGUGGCUUACCAAGGCUUUGACGGGUAGCCGGCCUGAGAGGGGGACCGGCCACACGAGAACGGGGACACGCACCAGACUCCUACGGUAGGCAGCAGGAGGCAAUCUGCCGCAAGGGGCGAAAGCCGGACGGAGCGACGGCGCGUGAGUGAAGAAGGUCGGCGGAUCGUAAAACGCGGGUAUGAGUGAAGAACAAACGUGUAAGUAACUAGGCACGUCUUGACGGUACCGAAUCAGAAAGCCACGGCUAACUACGUG